UACGAAGGGGGCUAGCGUUGCUCGGAAUCACUGGGCGUAAGGGUGCGUAGGCGGGUCUUUAAGUCAGGGGUGAAAUCCUGGAGCUCAACUCCAGAACUGCCUUUGAUACUGAGGAUCUUGAGUUCGGGAGAGGUGAGUGGAACUGCGAGUGUAGAGGUGAAAUUGUAGAUAUUCGCAAGAACACCAGUGGCGAAGGCGGCUCACUGGCCCGAUACUGACGCUGAGGCACGAAAGCGUGGGGAGCAAACAGGG
rnacentral:rRNA from 1 species